CAAGGACCCGCUGCAGACCUUGAUUUAUUUUGCAUUAGCACCCCCAUGGCAUGUGAACUAGGAGAUAAUCUGAAAUAAAAGGUCUGUGAUUUCCAAGUGACAGCCUUUACCAAAAUGGUUGGGAAACUGAAGCAGAACUUGCUAUUGGCGUGUCUGGUGAUCAGCUCCGUGACAGUGUUUUACCUGGGCCAGCACGCCAUGGAGUGUCACCACCGGAUAGAGGAACGGAGCCAGCCUCUGCGAGUGGAGAGUGUGAGGAGCACGGUCAGAACUGGUUCCAAUGGAAGUGCAAAUAAAACUUUUGCCUACAACAAAGACAUGCCUUUAAUAUUUAUUGGAGGAGUACCUCGCAGUGGCACUACUUUAAUGCGGGCCAUGCUCGAUGCGCAUCCGGAUAUUCGCUGUGGAGAGGAGACGAGGGUGAUCCCACGAAUUCUGGCCGUUAAGCAGAUGUGGGCUAGAUCAAGCAAAGAGAAAAUCCGACUGGAUGAAGCUGGAGUCACGGAUGAGGUUCUGGACUCAGCUAUGCAAGCGUUUUUAUUGGAAAUCAUUGUGAAACAUGGGGAGCCUGCGCCGUAUUUGUGUAACAAAGAUCCUUUUGCUCUAAAAUCCUUAACUUACCUUGCCAGAAUUUUCCCCAAUGCCAAAUUUCUUCUCAUGGUACGGGAUGGGCGCGCGUCCGUACAUUCCAUGAUAUCCAGAAAGGUCACCAUAGCUGGGUUUGACCUUAACAGCUACAGGGACUGCUUGACCAAGUGGAAUCGUGCUAUAGAGACAAUGUAUAACCAGUGUAUGGAGGUUGGUUUUGAAAGGUGUAUGCUGGUACAUUAUGAACAACUUGUACUACAUCCUGAGAGAUGGAUGAGGACUCUCUUAAAGUUUCUCCGCAUCCCGUGGAACCAAGCAGUGCUGCACCAUGAAGAAAUGAUUGGAAAAGCAGGGGGCGUUUCUCUCUCAAAAGUUGAAAGAUCUACUGACCAAGUCAUCAAGCCGGUCAAUGUGGAGGCGCUGUCAAAGUGGGUUGGGAAGAUCCCUGCUGAUGUCCUGCAAGAUAUGCCAGUGAUUGCACCCAUGUUAGCAAAGCUGGGCUAUGAUCCGUAUGCCAAUCCACCGAAUUAUGGGAAGCCAGAUCAAAAAGUUCUGGAAAACACAAGGAGGGUCUAUAAAGGCGAAUUCCAGCUUCCUGACUUUCUUAAAGAAGUGCCACAGCCAAAGAAGACAGUAGAAAGGAAGUCUCGUGGCAAGAUAAAAUGAACAUGGAUCAGUAAAGUAGAAUAGCUGCAGUGUCUGUCUCCUGUUUUCAGAGCAUAGCUUUUUGCUGUGGACACCAAAUCUUUUCUGAUAAUUCUGUGUGAUCUCUACUGCGGGCUUUGCUCUUUUACUGGAUGUUUUGCCUGCUCUCACCCUGCCAACAGUUAGUGCUCAUGCUUUGCUGCAAGUUGUGCUCUGCUAAUAGAAAACCAUUAAGAAUCUGACACCACGCAGCUAAAUGCGCUGUUGCUCACAGUAUUGUUCACUCUGGAGUGCUGGCCAAAAUGCCUCUGCAGCUUAAAGGCAAGAAAACUAUUUAAGUGUGUGCUGCUUUAAAGUUACUGUCAGCCAAUUGUUUUGAGAAAGUGCACUGUACAAAUGCAUUUUUUGUGGAUAUUUCAAGAUAAUCUACAGCAUAACAGAUACACUUGCAGGCACACAUAGGUUGCGAAUUUAGGUUGUGUUGGAACAGAGCGCCAGGUAUUGCUGAUGAGGACUUGUGAAACGUGCAGGGAGAUAAGCUGCCCUGAACUAGCUCUUUGUGAAUAGUGUUCUAGUAACAUGAAUGAUUCUUGUUCUGCAUGAAAUAGCUGUUAGAUGAAUUAUAAUGUUUGUAUUUUGUGAUUACCUUGGAAUAAUGUCAAAGGAAUUUGGUCCUCUACUUCUUGCAAUCCAUGUGAUAGAUCUCAAGACUCUUCUGAGUGUCAGGGGAGCAGGAUUUAUACAGUAUUUAUACUAUAAUUGUAUUAAGCCGACUCUAAGAUAAACUCUUAGGUUUAUCUAAGUAAGAUCUUCUGAAAAACAAAAGAUUUGUGAAAUAGUAACUGAAUAUUUCUGACACCAUAAAUACUGAAGCAGGAAUUGAAAUUACUUCUGUUAAUCUGUAAAGUCAAAGUAGAAUAGUUUAAUUAAAAACAAAACCAAACAAAUAAAUAUUUGAGUGCAAAUGUUGGUGCUGAUAAUACCAUCUUUUCCUUUAAUGUAAAAUAGCUAAUUUUGGUUUAAUUAUUUGUUUAACAGACUGAACCCGUGGAAUAGAAGAUACAGUGGAUAUUUCUUGCACAGGAGAAUGACUGCUGCCUUUUCCAUAGAAAUGAUGCUAUUAAGAACUGUCCCACCGGGAUCAGUGAGGUGUAACUGCUCUUGACCUGCCUUUUUUUCCUGUAUUUCUCACCCGAGUUUCUUUCAUACUUUGUCUUUUUGUUCAAGAUUUUGUUGUUGUGAAAGCAUGUAAACCUGUUUAAAAGGCGAGGGAAAAACUACAUUGAUGUUAAUGCAGUACUGUAUUAAUUUACACAACUAUUUUAAGGUUUUAAAGAAUCCAAAGCAAAAGCUGUCUCAAACUGCUAUUGUCUAAAUUCCAAACCUCAGUC